rnacentral:rRNA from 1 species
AUUUUUAUGGAGAGUUUGAUCCUGGCUCAGGAUGAACGCUGGCGGCGUGCCUAAUACAUGCAAGUCGAGCGAACAGACG